rnacentral:lncRNA from 1 species
CAGCAUUAGCAUGACAUGAGUUUUAUUUUUAAUAUGAUCUUCCUUAUCCUAGAACAAGCCUGAAAUUGUAACCAGAUGGUGUCCCACCCUGCCAGAGUUGCCUCCAACCAUCAGGGUUCCAGUCCCCAGGGCAGUUAACCACAGGCAGAAUUUUCAGGUCCCUUUGAUGAGGCUGCAGCUAACCCAGAGAAGGAGGGUCGUCUUCUCCUGAGUUGUUGUAUCCUUCACGGUUUUUCUACUUGCAGGGAAUGUGGAAAAGCUGCUGUUCUGGACAGAAUGAAGACCAGCCAAGGGAGGCAGAACCUCGGCAUUGCUGCAGCAGGCCUGGUACAGUAUUCGUAGCUUGCUUUACAUGCACUCAGGUCAGUUGUGUUUUUGCUUUGGCUUUUGUCACGUUUGCUAGGAGGAUUCGGUUAGGUUCGCUGCGCUGUGGUGCUCACUCACCUGCUUUCUGUGUCAAUGGAACUGUUUGCCUUUUUGCUGUAUCUGUUGGUGAAGUGAUUGACUGUUUCUGCUCGCUACUGGGGUUUCCCUUUCUCUGUAAUGCCUGCCUGGGGGGAGGGUGAAAACACUGGUGCUGUUUGCAGCCUUUCUUUGUAAUUUUUACCCUGCUAAUAAACACCUUUGUAGCAAUAAUGGAUUUUUUUUU